rnacentral:lncRNA from 1 species
CGCUGAUCUUGUGUGCAUUUACACUAAUACUGAACUUGGCCCAGAGGAUUUUGCAUCUCAAUGAUGAGAAAUAGAGAAGCUCAGCACCCACAGUUCCCAGGCGUUUGUAGUAAUCAGGCUGGAGCAUCACGCUAUCCAGAAAUAUCGGAGUAAAACAGAUAUUUUAAUAGCGCUGAUGUUAAAGCACAGGAGCUGGAGGAGGUAGGGAGAAGUGCUUGCCAGUGGUUCGGAUGCUGCGCUGCCAGGCAGCUCACAGUCCCAGUCACGUUGCAGGCCAAACCAGAUGGGCAAGCAAUACAAGCUGUGAAUUUAUUCUUGAUCCCUGUAGGACAGUGACCACCUCCGUUUUUACCAUCACCGUACAGAUAUGCACUGUCAAUAAGUUUUGGAAGAAAACCAACUUGAUAGCAGCUAUUGACUCGAGAUUGAGUAGAAGGAAGCUUUUCGUCAUGACAUUAACAUUUCCACAGGGCGUUUCAUUUUUUCAGAAUUAGCUUAGGUUGCGUGAAAUUGUUUGUAUUUGCAGAAAUGAUUCCUACAGGAAAGGCUUCUCUCUCAACUAGAAGAAGUGAUUAUUUAUUGGUCAAAUUCAAGUGUCUUAUGGAUACUCACAUUGUAUUACCCACAAUGUAUUGCUAAGUCACCUUGAAUAUUUUAGCAACUGGCAUUUCCUGCGAUUACAUGAAAAAGAAUAUAUUAAAUGUUAAAUAAACAUGUUGGAUAAAAUAAAAAUAGUUAAGUC